rnacentral:misc_RNA from 1 species
GAACGCACCUUGCGCUCCUUGGUAUUCCGAGGAGCAUGCCUGUUUGAGUGUCAUUAAAUCCUCAACUCCCCUUCUCCCUUGUGGAUGAAUGGGGUUGGAUGUGGUAGUUGCUGGCUCAUCGUCAGCUCUUCUCAAAUGCAUUAGCAGGGCCAUCCCAUGCAAGGCUGCAGCUUGGUAUUGAUAGUUGUCUUACCAGGCAGUGACCGAGUGAAGUGCUCAGCUUCUAGCUGUCUCAUUGUUGGGACAAUAAUCAUGACGAUUUGACCUCAAAUCAGGUAGGACUACCCGCUGAACUUAAG